UACGGAGGGUGCAAGCGUUACUCGGAAUCACUGGGCGUAAAGGGCGCGUAGGCGGCCUAGCAAGUCUGGUGUGAAAGCCCAGGGCUCAACCCUGGAAGGGCACUGGAAACUGUUAGGCAUGAGUUCCGGAGAGGAGGGGGGAAUUCACGGUGUAGCGGUGAAAUGCGUAGAUAUCGGGAGGAAUACCGGUGGCGAAGGCGCCCCUCUGGACGGAAACUGACGCUGAGGCGCGAAAGCGUGGGGAGCAAACCGG
rnacentral:rRNA from 1 species